rfam:Brassica napus, WGS project CCCW01000000 data, contig: 13998
GCUCAGGACAACAUUUUCAAGAUGGAAAAUGUUUUUGACUUAUGUAGCUGUGAUCAAAUUUUCGCAGCCACGGUUAAGUCAAAAGUAUGUUUCAUCUUAGAGAAUGUUGUCCAGAAC